UACGGGGGGGGCAAGCGUUGUUCGGAAUUACUGGGCGUAAAGGGCGCGUAGGCGGUUCGUUAAGUCGGAUGUGAAAACUCUGGGCUCAACCCAGAGCCUGCAUCCGAAACUGGCAAGCUAGAGUUCUGGAGGGGGUAGCGGAAUUCCUGGUGUAGCGGUGAAAUGCGUAGAUAUCGAGAGGAACACCUGCGGCGAAGGCGGGUUGCUGGGCUGACACUGACGCUGAUGUGCGAAAGCUAGGGGAGCGAACGGG
rnacentral:rRNA from 1 species